UCUAUUGAAGUAUAUACUCUUUUUUCUCAGUAUACUUGUACGUUUGCUGGUACAUGUAUGCCUUACAUACUCAUAUACUUACAUACCUGCAUAUCAACCACUUUCCACUUAACGAUUUGAGUGUUUUGGUCACUUCGUAUUCCUCCAGCGGAAUCAUCACAAGCUUCCGCCUUCCGCUACCUAAAAUAGUCAAUAGCAUUUCCAAAUUUGAGUUACGUGAAGAAUAAGGCUCCUGUAUCAUAGUUUGCAGCGUAAUCUCUGGAAUCUUUUCAUUUAAGAGAAAAUAAAGGAAAAGUGAAGUAAGAGACAUAUGAUGAAAAUCGAGAGACCUUAGCUGCUAACAAACACUCUAGUCUACUGCAUUUUCAUGAGUUACUUGGAGAAUAGUCAUUUGGCUGGAGAGAAGAACAUUUUGAAAAUGCCUCCCUACUCUGAUGUUGAAGAAAGGGACCUCAGUGUUCUGCUUGAAUCUUUUGGUUCUUUAUUUUCUCUGGAGGACAUAGCAAGUGCAUAUUGUGAGGCGAAACGCAAUGUUAAUAUGGCUGCUGAGAUCCUCUGUGCCUCCUCUAAUAGUGAUGAGCUCAAGGGUACAAUUUCUGAACCUACUAAAGUGUCUUCUGCAAGUGAAUUUCCAAAUUCCCUUCAUGGGAAAAGGAACUCAGGUGCAGUGAAAUCAAAGCCUCAUCGUGUAUCACUUGGCACUGUCUCUGGUGUUGUUGGAAAGGAGUACAUUCACCCGAAGAAAAUGCCGACUCAAGGCGUGAAGAGCAAACCUUCGAAGAUAGAUGCAAAGGAGCUGCCAGAAUCAGAGACAUGGAGUGAAAGGGAUUCACUGAAAAUUGAAGCAGCAAAGGGCAGCAUGAGGGAUGAUGUUGUAAACUUCCUCUUUCAGAUGCUUGGAGAUGGCUUUGAGCUUGACAAGGAUAAGAUACAUGAUGUUCUUGGCCUCUGUGGAUAUGAUGUGAAGAAGGUACACGUGAUUUUACCUAUUUGCAUUUUGGACACUUUGACAAUGGAGGAGCUGCUUGACAUGUCAGCUUCUAGAUUGGAGAAAGGUGAUGAUGAUCACGGUCUGGCUGGUGAAAAUUUAAAAGAUCAGCAUCCAGAUGUAAGCUCUGCAUCCAGCGAGAAAGAAUGCAAUUCAAUUGAUAAAGUAAGGCUUCAGAAAGAAAUCUUAGGAUCAUUAUUUUCUUUUCCACAAAGGUCUGAAGAACUGCCAAAGCAUAGGCUUCCAGUGAGAUCAACCCCAUAUCGUUAUGGUAGACGAGUUGUAAGAAUUCCAGAUGAUACCCCAAAAGUUCAGCAAAGUACUACUGUAGUGCCACAAGUUGUAAAGGAAGAGAGCGACGAAGAUGAGAAUAGCUAUAAUGUGCUGCGUAGAGCAGUGAGGGAAAAUUGGGCUACCAUGAAAGAAUACUACAGUGCUGCUGUUGAUGCAUUUGCUAAGGGUGAUUAUGCACGGGCAGACAGACUUAUGGAACAGGGACACUUUUAUAACAGAAUGGCUCGAGAAGCAGAUGAAAAAUCUGCACAAAAGCUUCUUCAGUCUAGUGAAUCCAAUGAUGAUGCUAUACCUCUUGACUUGAGCGAACAUGAACCAAAGGAAGCCCUUCGUCUUGUCAAGUUUCAUUUGACUACUCUCUCUGGCAUUCAUUCAAUCAAGUACCUUAAAGUCAUAGUUGGGACAGGAGAUGAAGAUAAGAAAGGAACAAGGAAAAAACUGAUUAUUAAGCAGCUGAGCAAGAAUUCCAUUCAAUGGACCGAGGAAGACAACGGUAGGAUCCUACGCCUCAAACUGGACGAGAUUGAUCGGACUGAUAUUAGCAGUGAAAGCGGUGAUGCCUGAUGUGCAUCGCCGUUUCUGCGUCUGGCAUUUAUGGAAAAAUUUCAACAAGAAUUGGAAGGACUUACAGCUAAGGGGACUUCUGUGGGAAUGUGCAAGGGCAACAACAUACCAAGAAUUCAGGGAUGGAAUGGAGAAGAUCAAAAGGUUAAAUGAGGAUGCCUGGGCAUACUUAGCGAAGUGGCCUAUGGAUGCUUGGACCAGAAGCUUAUUCAGCCAUAAGCCGAAAUUGGAUAGCAUCUAUAACAACGCCUGCGAAGUGUUCAAUGCUAAGAUCAAGGAUGCACGAGCCAAACCCAUCAUAACAUUGCUGGAGGAGGUAAGGAUGUUUGUUAUGCGAACCAUAGCGAAAACAAGGUGAAGCUGCAGAAUCACACUGGGAAGCUCACACCUGUUAUAAAGAGCAGGCUGGAGAAGGUGAGGAAAGAAUCCAAGCAUUGGAAGCCUAUUUGAACUGGGGAUAACGGAUACGAAAAAUUUGAGGUACACGGACAUCCAACCAACCAUGUUGUGGACAUAGGAAAGAGAUUGUGCACAUGCCAAUUUUGGAUGCUAACGGGUAUCCCGCGUGUGCACGCUUGUGCUGCCCUGUCUCGUGUGAAUAAACAGCCAGAAGACUUCUGUCACAGAUGGCUGACCAUGGACUCAUACAAGGAAAUUUAUAACCACCACAUUAAUCCAAUUCCUGGUCAACCACUGUGGGAAAAAGCAGAGGACUGUAACAGGCCACAUGCCCCUAAAAUCAAGACAAAACCUGGAAAACUAAAGAUGAAGAGGAGGAUGGAUGCGGACGAGAAGAGUGCUUCUGGAACUAAGAAGCCUAAAGUUGACCCAAAACUCUCAGGCAACACUGCAGAUGGUGUACACCUAAAGAGACAGCUGGGUGCCUUUACAUGUAGUUACUGUGGUGAUAAGGGGCAUACAAAGAGAGGCUGCAAAAAGAAAAAAGAUGCUGAUGCUGCUACUGCUGCUGCUGCAGCAGUAGCCGCUGCCGCUGCUGCCGAGGCAGCUGAGAAGAAGAAAAAUGAUGAAGUUCAUACUGUGCCUAAGAAGCCGGUUCAUCAGCCCCAAGACGUGUCUGGCCAAGAAGAUUUGGGAAGCAAUCCCCAAGAGAUCGAAUGAACUCAGCCUUCUGCUUCUGAGCAAGAGGAUUCUGAAAAGGAUCCUGCACCGAAAAGACCUUCCAAGCUGUCACCACGAAGACGAUCCUCUAAUCAGCCAACCACACCAACAGUGAAUCCCUUGCAGGGUGCAUCUUCAGCAACAUCUUCAAAGUUUGCCAACUUGAUGCAGUUCAUCCCAACGCCAGGAUUUAGGCCCCCAAGAAAGAAGAAUUGAAUACUAGAUAUAUGUACUUAGGAGUUUCUGUUUUGUGUUUUGUUAUUAGUCUUUUCCAUCGUAUAAUGACUAGAUGGUGAACUGUGAUGCAAAGGCCUUUUUGGUAUGCCUUGGCCUUGCUUUUGAUGAAACUACUGAUAGCAGCAACAUGGUUUCUAGGCUGCCUUUUACAGUCAACUUUUGUUGUUUCUUGAUAGACAAUGGAAUUUAUGUUAAUAUGCUA